rnacentral:tRNA from 1 species
UCUGUGAUAGCUUAAAGGUAGAGCCCCAAUCGGUAAUUGGUAUUUUGCGGGUUCGAUUCCCGUUCCUGGAG